GUGGGGGGCUGGGUGGGGAGCGGGUGGGACGAGCGCGGGUGUAAUGUGAGACCCCCUGCGCUAACGGGCCGGCCGGGCUGAGGACAGUGCUCUGUGCCGUCGGCCUCCUCCGUCCCCCGCGGGAGGGCUUGCUGCGUCCUCACCGCGUGUUCUCCGGCAGAUCUUCGUGGUCAACGACCUGGAGGAGCUCGAGCGGCUGGACGCGCAGAACGCCAUCGCCUUCUGCAGGGACCAGCGCGCCCUGUACUUUCAGGACAGUCUGGGCUGGCUCCCCAUCCAGCCGCCCCCCUCCCGCCCUGGGGACCACGCUGCAGACCCCCGCGGCGCCUGCGGGGACGGGGUCCUGCAGCCCGGGGAGGAGUGUGACGACGGGAACGACGACGGCGGCGACGACUGCAUCGGUGAGUGGGCGUCGGGGGGGACAGCAGGCGGGGGCGUCGGCAGGGACCCGCCUCCCAGCGCGGCCCCACGU
rnacentral:lncRNA from 1 species